rnacentral:rRNA from 1 species
CCUACGGGAGGCAGCAGUGGGGAAUCUUGGGCAAUGGGCGAAAGUCUGACGCAGCAACGCCGCGUGAAUGAAGAAGGCUUUCGGAUUGUAAACCUCUUUUAAUGGGGAAGAACAUAAGACUGUACCCCUUGACUCAUCCACCGCUAACUACGUGCCAGCAGCCGCGGUAACACGUUGGUGGCAAGCUUUGUCCUGAUUUACUGGGUGUAAAGGGCGUGCAUCCUGGAAGACAAGUCUGAUGUGAAAUCCCGCGGCUCAACCGCGGAACUGCAUUUGAAACUGUUGUUCUUGAGUGUAGGAGAGGUAAGUGGAAUUCCUAGUGUAGCGGUGAAAUGCGUAGAGAUUAGGAGGAACACCAGUGGCGAAGGCGACUUACUGGACUACAACUGACGGUGAGGCGCGAAAGCGUGGGGAGCAAACAGGAUUAGAUACCCGAGUAGUC